rnacentral:rRNA from 1 species
UACGGAGGAUCCAAGCGUUAUCCGGAUUCAUUGGGUUUAAAGGGUGCGUAGGCGGAUUUGUAAGUCAGUGGUGAAAUCCUGCAGCUUAACUGCAGAACUGCCAUUGAUACUGCAAGUCUUGAGUGUGUUUGAAGUGGGCGGAAUGUGUCAUGUAGCGGUGAAAUGCUUAGAUAUGACACAGAACACCGAUUGCGUAGGCAGCUCACUAAACCACAACUGACGCUGAGGCACGACAGCGUGGGGAUCAAACAGG